rnacentral:rRNA from 1 species
AGAGUUUGAUCCUGGCUCAGGACGAACGCUGGCGGCGUGCCUAACACAUGCAAGUCGAACGGAGUUGAAAAGAGCUUGCUUUUUUCAACUCAGUGGCGGACGGGUGAGUAACGCGUGAGUAACCUGCCUUUCAGAGGGGGAUAACGUUCUGAAAAGAACGCUAAUACCGCAUAAGAUUGUAGCUUCGCAUGGAGCAGCAAUCAAAGGAGCAAUCCGCUGAAAGAUGGACUCGCGUCCGAUUAGAUAGUUGGCGGGGUAACGGCCCACCAAGUCGACGAUCGGUAGCCGGACUGAGAGGUUGAUCGGCCACAUUGGGACUGAGACACGGCCCAGACUCCUACGGGAGGCAGCAGUGAGGGAUAUUGGGCAAUGGGGGAAACCCUGACCCAGCAACGCCGCGUGAGGGAUGACGGUUUUCGGAUUGUAAACCUCUGUCCUCUGUGAAGAUAGUGACGGUAGCAGAGGAGGAAGCUCCGGCUAACUACGUGCCAGCAGCCGCGGUAAUACGUAGGGAGCAAGCGUUGUCCGGAUUUACUGGGUGUAAAGGGUGCGUAGGCGGAUUGGCAAGUCAGAAGUGAAAUCCAUGGGCUUAACCCAUGAACUGCUUUUGAAACUGUUAGUCUUGAGUGAAGUAGAGGUAGGCGGAAUUCCCGGUGUAGCGGUGAAAUGCGUAGAGAUCGGGAGGAACACCAGUGGCGAAGGCGGCCUACUGGGCUUUAACUGACGCUGAGGCACGAAAGCAUGGGUAGCAAACAGGAUUAGAUACCCUGGUAGUCCAUGCCGUAAACGAUGAUUACUAGGUGUUGGAGGAUUGACCCCUUCAGUGCCGCAGUU